AUGGACAAACUUGAUGAUGAAGAGAAAAAGGAAAUGGUCAGGCACUUACUAGUGGCUGCAGAUCGGUAUGCAACGGAAAGGAUGAAGAUGAUGUGUGAACACAUUCUUUGCAAAACUCUUGAUGUUCAGACUGUGGCGACCACGUUAGCUUUAGCUGAUCAGCAUCACUGCAGCAGGCUAAAAGAUGCGUGUGCUGAAUUUAUCCUGGAGUGUGUGUUUUUUAGGCCGAGCUCCCUGAUACCCACUAUCGUCACGGUCCAGAUUUUGGGUAGAUGCAUGCGGAUAUGUGCAGAGCUUUGA
rnacentral:rRNA from 1 species